rnacentral:rRNA from 1 species
AUGGAGUCGCAGCAGCAGAGCAGGAAGGAGGCCGCCUGGAAGCGGGAGGAAGGCGGCCAGGGCGGCGUCAGCCUGGAGGAGAUCGGCAAGUUCCGCGCGGAGGCGCAGCAGAACUCGGCGGACGCCAUCCGCGCCGCCCAGGAGCGGUACAACCAGAACCUGCAGCACGGCGGCGGCGGCGCCGCUAGGGGGGCGGUGACCGUCACCCAGGCGCCCGGCGCCACGGUCGUCUCCUACCAGGAGCACAAGGCCCUUCCCGAGGGCGCCCAGCAGGGCCGCGCCCCUGCCGCGGCGCAGGGUCACGGCACCAACGCGCCGGCAGGGGGCACGAUGGCUUCGUCUCGGGGCACCGAGAAGCAGCACGCCACGAAGCAGGAGGAGGGCCGUGGCCAUGGCACGGCCCACAAGGAGCACAAGGGCUCGGCGGCGGUCAGCCGUGCCGCCGAGGACGGCCACGACAAGCAGGGCAGAGAGAGCGCCGCGCGCGGCACCAACGCGCCGGCAGGCGCUACGGUGGCGUCAUCUCGGGGCGCUGAGAAGCAGCACCACACGAAGCAGGAGGAGGGCCGUGGGCAUGGCGCGGGCCACAAGGAGCAGAAGGGCUCGGCGGCGGUCACCCACGCCACCGAGGACAGGGGCAAAGAGGGCGACUCCGCGCGCAGCGCCAAGGACGCGGCCAUGCAAGCGCUCGGAAUCACGGGAGACCAAACUGUGGCCAAGGGCGCCGGAACCAAGGACGCCGGUGCGCAUGGCGCGCAGGUCCGUGGGCAUGACACGGGCCACAAGGAUCAGAAGGGCUCAGACACGGCCGCGCGCAAGCUCGUCUCCACUGGAGACUACGCUGCGCCCAAGGGAGCCCAGGCCAAGGACGCCGGCGCGCAUGGCGCGCAGGUCACCGCGGAAGGCACGGAGGAGGCCACGGCUACCGCCGCCGAGUACGCCAAACAGGCUGCAGCAAAGGCGAAGGAGGUCACGCUCACCACGGGCGAGAUGACGGCGGAGUACGCGAAGCAGGCCGCCGUGAAGGCCAAGGACGUCACGGUGAGCACCGGCGGGACGGCAGCGGAGUACGCUAAGACUGCCGCCGAGAAGGCGAGGGAGGCGGCGCUGGCGGCUGGCAAGACGACGGCCGAGUACACGCAGCAGGCGGCGGUGAAGGGCAAGGACGUCACGGUCUCCACCGGCGGGACGGCCGCGGAGUACGCCAAGACAGCCGCCGAGAAGGCCAAGGACACCGCGCUGGCGGCCGGCAAGACGACGGCAGAUUACACUCAGCAGGCGGCGGUGAAAACCAAGGACGUGACGCUGUCGACCGCCGCGCAAGCGGCGCAGAAGGCCAAGGAGGUGACCGCGGUCACGGCGCAGAAGGUGGCGGAGUACACGAAGGAGAUGGCGGAGCAAGGGAAGAACGCUGCUGCCCAGGCCGAGGAGAAGGCGAAGGAGGCCGCAGCCCGCGCCGCCCACAAGGCGGAGGAGCCGAGCUUCGACACGAGCACGCAGACCAAGCGCUCGGCCGCAGGGGCAGCGGACAAGACCCGCGACAUGACCGAACAAACCAUGAACAAGGCCAAGGACACGACCGGAGCCAUGGCGCAGAAGGCCACUGACACGGCUGCGUACGUCAAGGACUCGGUGAUUGGCGCAGCAGGAGGCACGGCGGACAAGACCCGCGACACCACUGAACAAACAAUGGGCAGGGCCAAGGAGGCUACCGGAGACGCAGGGAAUAGGACCGGGAGCAUGGCCGCCCAGGUGAAGGACGCGACCGGAGCCAUGGCGAAGAAGGCCGGCCACACGGCCGCGUACAUCAAGGACUCGGUGAUGGGCGCGGCCGGAGGCGCCGUGGACAAGACCCGGGACGCCACGUCGCAGGUCGCGCAGAAGACAGGGGAGGCGACGAACAGAGUGGUGGAGACCGGCAAAAGCGCCACCGGCGGCGGCAUGACCGGGACGGCCAAGGCGAAGGGUGAAGGCACAGAAGACACCAAGAUCGUGGAAGACGUGCUGGAGGUGGUGGGCGCGGGCAUGGAGGCGGUGGGCGCGACGGUGUACGGGAUAGCGCAGCACACCAAGGGGAUCGUCGCCGGCGAAGAGGAGCUCAUCCCGGUCGAAGGGGAGGCCGGGAAGGUCGCCGGAGCCGGCGAGGGCAGGAAGAAAUCCGAGUGA